GACGAACGCUGGCGGCGUGCCUAAUACAUGCAAGUAGAACGCUGAAGCGAGGAGCUUACUCUUCUUGGAUGAGUUGCGAACGGGUGAGUAACGCGUAGGUAACCUGCCUUGUAGCGGGGGAUAACUAUUGGAAACGAUAGCUAAUACCGCAUAACAAUGGAUGACACAUGUCAUUUAUUUGAAAGGGGCAAUUGCUCCACUACAAGAUGGACCUGCGUUGUAUUAGCUAGUAGGUGAGGUAAUGGCUCACCUAGGCGACGAUACAUAGCCGACCUGAGAGGGGGAUCGGCCACACUGGGACUGAGACACGGCCCAGACUCCUACGGGAGGCAGCAGUAGGGAAUCUUCGGCAAUGGGGGCAACCCUGACCGAGCAACGCCGCGUGAGUGAAGAAGGUUUUCGGAUCGUAAAGCUCUGUUGUAAGUCAAGAACGGGUGUGAGAGUGGAAAGUUCACACUGUGACGGUAGCUUACCAGAAAGGGACGGCUAACUACGUG
rnacentral:rRNA from 1 species